AAGGUCACGGUUGUCGCUCACACACCCCCGCUCCCCUCUCCCCAACGACCGUCUCCACACUCCAUCCCACUCCCACCCAUCACUAGGGCAGCGAAGCCGUCAAUGCAGCUUGUCAGUGACCUUCAGCAGCGGCCCAAGAAGGGGCGGCUGUCAAUCGAGAAAAACAUCGUGCCCUUCUACGAUCUCUGCACUACAGUGCAGUUUGUUACGUUUCUCAUCCACACCGUCACGACCAUGAUCGGUGCCAGUCGCACCUUCACGCGCUCCAUCAUCGUCCAGAACAACUUUGAGCUCACGCCGUCCCUCGUGUACAAGACACGCGACUGCUCCUUCAACACGGUGCGCAACAUAUACGCCUUCAGCGCCGUCGACAUGACGUUCACCCAGAGUUCCGUGAACGACGUCUUUGUGGAUCAAGCUAUACAGAUGCGACUCGCCAUCUUCGUGUGCGCUGCCACCCUCCUCGUUGGUGGCUUGAACCGCAUGCUGGUCGAGGCUAAUGUGUUCGUCAUCAAGUUUCGCAACUUUUACCUCUGGAAGGACAUCAUCUCCGCCACGGAGCUGCUGCUGCUCGCCUAUGUCAUGCAGAUCGUGGCGACCGUGCAAUAUCCAGCCCGUCUGCUGCAGGAUUACCUGCGGCACUGCGGGGUGACGGCGAACUCCUACCUGCCCUUCAUCAGCACCAUCAAUCUGUGGGUGUUCGCUGGGGUCGGAUACCUCACCUACGUGGUAGGCCUUAUUCUGUAUUUGAACAACGCACUGCCAAAGUACGGCGUGAUGACGCCGCAGGAGAUUGAAGAAUACAAGGCGUGGGUGCGCAGUCGCCGCGCAGAGCAGGAGCAGGUGCGCAUGCUGAUCGAUGAGGCUAAGAAGGCGCACGCCCGCCUCCACAUGCUGAACAGCACCGACUACAAGCAUGGUGAAAACAACACCCUUGCCCUGCCGCCGAGUAUGAUGGGGCCGAAUGGUCCCAUGUACCCGUACCCAUACCCCUACGGUCCCGCGUACCCCGGAUACGCUCCCAUAGCGCCGUCGAUGACGAGUGCAAUGACGGACCCACGCCUUCCAGCGCCGCAGCUUUUCGGGGCAGGCAUGAUGCCGACACCUGGGCAAACGGGUAUGAUGCCACCUUCUGUGUAUGACGGCGAGCAACCACCUCCCGUGGACCCGUCGCCCUACGAGGCGAUGGGGCCGCCAGGAGCGACGGCAGCCGUGUCCUCCUCGCCGGGGGGCGCCGUGUCUCUUCCCGCCAACAUGCCGCGUAGACGCAUUGUGCCUAGCCCCAGUCAGGUGAACCCGCCCAUGUACGAGUAGCGUGCACACGGCACUCUCCGAUAGACUUAGAUGAAAGUGUCCAUUAGAUGGGCACACGCCGGCAUGCGUAUGCUCAUCCAUUGUGCUUGCGUUGCCUCCCUCCCUGUCUUCCUGUCCCUUGUCCGCUACGGCCCUCUCGCUGAGUCGAUGGCCAUGUGUGUGUGUGUGUGUGUGGAGGGGAACGGGCGCAGCGAGAGAUCGUGAUGGGGCUGUGACUUGCCGUUUCGUUCUUGCUUGGCUUUUUGCUGUUUUGUUUGACGUGGCUCAUGCGCUUCUCCUCGUUCGCCACUUCAUCUGUUCUUGUCCGGCCCGCCCUGAGGCCCUGCCUUCCCCUCUCCUGCCUCUUGUUGCUGUUCACCGUUUCUGCGCGUACGUGCCUUGCUUGCCCUUUCG
rnacentral:misc_RNA from 1 species